rnacentral:lncRNA from 1 species
AUGAGCAGGUCCGCACCCGGGAUCCAAACCCAUGAACAUGGGAUGCAGAAUCCGAGUAUGUGGAACUUUAACCCCUUGGCCAUGGGGCCAGCCCUCCCAGUUUUAGUUUUUAAGCACAUUCGUCCCAGUGCCGAAGUGAACAGAAAGAACAAUGGUUUCUACAUUAUUUCACGAGGAGGAAUUGGACGUCCUCUCAAGUACGUCUUCUUAAAGGCACAUUGCAGAGCUGAGAGCCUGAAACCACUCAACUCCCAGGGAAGACUCUUUUCCUGUUGUGGAGUACUGAGCAUAUGA